rnacentral:rRNA from 1 species
AGAUUGAACGCUGGCGGCAGGCCUAACACAUGCAAGUCGAGCGGUAGUGAGGUGCUUGCAUCUCUUGAGAGCGGCGGACGGGUGAGUAAUGCCUAGGAAUCUGCCUAGUGGUGGGGGAUAACGGUUCGGAAACGGACGCUAAUACCGCAUACGUCCUACGGGAGAAAGCGGGGGACCUUCGGGCCUCGCGCCAUUAGAUGAGCCUAGGUCGGAUUAGCUAGUUGGUGAGGUAAUGGCUCA